UGUAAUAUUAGAUUGGCUAAUAAAGUUGUAGUUGUGAGGUAGUGGGUGUGCGUAGAAAGCGGAAGAAGAGUUCAAAAGCUCCAACCUGCUUUGGCAACUGGGAAUGACCGAACGUUUUUGGAAUUUUCCAAGAUGGGACACGGCAAGUGGAGAAAAAAGAAAGAGACAGAUAGCUGCAUUUGGUCGAGGGAAGGGCACGAAGCAGACGAGGAAAAACAGAAGAGAAGCAGGGAGAAGGACGGAAGGCUCAGUAGAAGAAGAGAGCAAAGGCAGAGAGCGGAGGAUGGAAGCAGCUCAGCAGGAAUAAUUCUUGUAAAUAAAGGUUGUAUUUUUGCUUUGAUUUUUUAUGGAUAAUUUUUUAUGUUUUCAGAUAAGUAUGUAUAAUUAAUUUUCUUUCGCUUGAGUGAGGUCAUGAGCUUCAACAUGAAUACGUCUCUUUUAAUUGUUUAAGUAUUGUUACAUGCUUA